rnacentral:lncRNA from 1 species
GAAGAAUGCAUAUGCUGUGUCAAGAUUGAGAAGAAAACAGGCUAUACCAAAAGGGAAUUCUAUGAUCAAGCAUUCAAGAUAUACAAGGAGAAUUUUGUAGUGUUCAUAUUAUUACAAGAUAAUAUCAUUUUUAAUGGUGUUAUCAGGUAUACUGUUACCAGUGAAGACUAUAAAAAUGAACUGAAGAAAGACAAUCCAUGUGGAGUUUCUGUUCACUGGGAAUUGGUGGAGCCUGCUGUGUGCAUAAGAACUUUGAGGGCUCGCAUGAAAUUUGAAGCCUAUAAUACAAAAGGUGAGGUCGUGUCUGGAGAUAAGUCAAAAGAGCUGAUUAUUGUCUGGACUCUAGUGAUUGAGCAUCAGGGAUUCUUGGUUCUGUAA